CAGUCGCCACGGUAAUACGGAGGGAGCUAGCGUUGUUCGGAAUUACUGGGCGUAAAGCGCACGUAGGCGGUUAUUCAAGUCAGAGGUGAAAGCCCGGGGCUCAACCCCGGAACCGCCUUUGAAACUAGAUGACUGGAAUCUUGGAGAGGUCAGUGGAAUUCCGAGUGUAGAGGUGAAAUUCGUAGAUAUUCGGAAGAACACCAGUGGCGAAGGCGACUGACUGGACAAGUAUUGACGCUGAGGUGCGAAAGCGCGGGGUGCAAACAGGAUUAGAUACCCCUGUAGUCCCUGUCUCUUAUAC
rnacentral:rRNA from 1 species